rnacentral:lncRNA from 1 species
ACUCCCCGACAGGACUUCCCUCCCAUUUCAGGAAAAUCCUCUUAUGUGGGGAGAUGACACCCUAAGGUUUGGGGAAGGACUCACCCAUGUGUGGACCGGCCCUCUGGACCAAGAACAACCCUAGAAAGAAAGAUCAUGAUGGACCAUCCCUCUGCAGGCAAACCAGGGCACCCUGCUGCCCCCACUGGGCUGUGCGUCUUGGCAGCCAGGCCCUUGCUGGGCUGAAGGUAAACUCACCCUCGCUGCCUACCUGCCCCCAGGAACAAGGAUCUCGGCUGUGCAGAGACUGAGCCUCCAGGCCCAGAUCUCUACCUCCAGGCCUAGAUCUACACAACAGGCCCAGAUCUCCACUCCAGGACUCACCAACACACGCCAUGCUGACGACCAUGAGCGACAUGGUGCUGCCGGUGCAGACAGGCGGCUGCGCCCCAGCUCAGCUCAGCAGCGCACAGGAUGUUAUUUGGCGCCCUGCCCAUGCAGUUUACAUGUUGACCACAUCAUGGGAGGGUGACGUACGCAGGCUCUUUCUACCUUGCAUGAGGCCCAGUGGGUGCUCGCUCAAGAGCGGAACAUGGCUUCCUGGAAAUUGCUCUCACUAGAAUUGACACCUCGCGUCCUUCACUAUGACCAACUCAAAACACGUCUCAGAUCCAACCUCCCGAACACGAGAUGCCUAAAAUCUGUGCUAACAUGAAAGACUUUUCAUGUAUUUUUUUUGUUUUUAUCUGAGAUUCAAACUCUUCUUCCUGUGUAAUAUGCAAAGUAUCUAAUAGGUAUUAUUAAUGUUUUCGGAGUCAUUGUGACUAAUAAACCAUUAGAAUUUUU